rnacentral:misc_RNA from 1 species
GAUGAAGAACGUAGCGAAAUGCGAUAAGUAAUGUGAAUUGCAGAAUUCAGUGAAUCAUCGAAUCUUUGAACGCACAUUGCGCCCCCUGGUAUUCCGGGGGGCAUCCCUGUCCGAGCGUCAUUACAACCCUCAAGCUCAGCUUGGUAUUGGGCCCCGCCGACCCGGCGGGCCCUAAAGUCAGUGGCGGUGCCGUCCGGCUCCGAGCGUAGUAAUUCUUCUCGCUCUGGAGGUCCGGUCGUGUGCUCGCCAGCAACCCCCAAUUUUUUUCAGGUUGACCUCGGAUCAGGUAGGGAUACCCGCUGAACUUAAGCAUAUCAAUAAGCGGAGGA